CGUAACUAUAACGGUCCUAAGGUAGCGAAAUUCCUUGUCGGGUAAGUUCCGACCUGCACGAAUGGUGCAACGAUCUGGACACUGUCUCGGCCAUGAGCUCGGUGAAAUUGUAGUAUCGGUGAAGAUGCCGAUUACCCGCUAUGGGACGAAAAGACCCCGUGCACCUUUACUAUAGCUUAGUAUUGACUUUGGACAAGUGAUGUGUAGGAUAGGUGGGAGACUUUGAAGCUGCGUCGCCAGGCGUGGUGGAGUCAUUGUUGAAAUACCACCCUUUACUUGUUUGAAGCCUAACCCAUGUAAUGGGGACAGUGCUUGGUGGGUAGUUUGACUGGGGUGGUCGCCUCCAAAAGAGUAACGGAGGCUUCUAAAGGUUCCCUCAACACGGUUGGCAAUCGUGUGUAGCGUGCAAUGGCAUAAGGGAGCUUGACUGAGAGACAUACAGGUCGAUCAGGUACGAAAGUAGAGCAUAGUGAUCCGGUGGUUCCGCAUGGAAGGGCCAUCGCUCAAAGGAUAAAAGGUACGCCGGGGAUAACAGGCUGAUCUCCCCCAAGAGCUCAUAUCGACGGGGGGGUUUGGCACCUCGAUGUCGGCUCGUCACA
rnacentral:rRNA from 1 species